CCCCUAGAUGUUCUGGGCCGCACGCGCGCUACACUGAACAGUUCAACAAGUCUUAACCUUGGCCGAUAGGUCUGGGUAAUCUUUGAACGCUGUUCGUGAUUGGGAUAGACCUUUGCAAUUAUGGGUCUUCAACGAGGAAUUCCUAGUAAACGCAAGUCAUCAGCUUGCAUUGAUUACGUCCCUGCCCCUUGUACACACCGCCCGUCGCACCUACCGAUUGAAUGGUCCGGUGAAAUCUCGGGACGGCGGCUUGGUCGCUUGCGUCCGACUGCUGAAACUUGAUUAAACCAUAUCAUUUAGAGGAAGGUGAANUCGUAACA
rnacentral:rRNA from 1 species